CCUACGGGAGGCAGCAGUGGGGAAUCUUGCGCAAUGGGCGAAAGCCUGACGCAGCAACGCCGCGUGCGGGAUGAAGGCCUUCGGGUUGUAAACCGCUUUCAGCAGGGACGAAAAUGACGGUACCUGCAGAAGAAGCCCCGGCUAACUACGUGCCAGCAGCCGCGGUAAUACGUAGGGGGCAAGCGUUGUCCGGAUUUAUUGGGCGUAAAGAGCUCGUAGGCGGUUCCGUAAGUCGAGUGUGAAAAACUCUGGGCUCAACCCAGUGGAGCACUCGAUACUGCGGUGACUAGAGUACGGUAGAGGAGUGUGGAAUUCCUGGUGUAGCGGUGAAAUGCGCAGAUAUCAGGAGGAACACCAACGGCGAAGGCAGCACUCUGGGCCGGUACUGACGCUGAGGAGCGAAAGCGUGGGGAGCAAACAGGAUUAGAUACCCUGGUAGUCCACGCCGUAAACGUUGGGCACUAGGUGUGGGAGGGAACUCAACCCUUUCCGUGCCGUAGCUAACGCAUUAAGUGCCCGCUGGGGNGUACGCGCGAGACAACACAANAGAUAGACGCGNGAGACGNGCGACGACGACGACGAGGAGAG
rnacentral:rRNA from 1 species